CAUCAACAGCUGGUUAUUCAUGGAUUUUCAUUCACGUGAGAGAGAGAGAGUUGUUGGAGUUUCUCCUCAGUGUGUUUAAACUUUCAUUUACUCCUUUCAAGAUGCCGUUGACUCGGUAGAGAAUAUGCAUCUCAGGGUCUGAGUGCUGUGGUCAGUGGAAUUGCAGUGUGGACUCCAACAUACUGUUGACUGUCCUGAAACAAGAUGGCUGUUCUGGGCUGCUUUUAAACCUCUACAGGAUCAGUGUCCUGAAACCUGGACAGCUGCUGCUCAGUAUGUGACCUAGAAAGGCUUUCGAAAUAACAGCCAACUUUUCCGGGACAUCGACAUGUCUUCUAU
ensembl:lncRNA